rnacentral:rRNA from 1 species
CAGAGCUUGACAUCCCUCUGACCGGUCCGUAAUGGGACCUUCCCUUCGGGGCAGAGGUGACAGGUGGUGCAUGGUUGUCGUCAGCUCGUGUCGUGAGAUGUUGGGUUAAGUCCCGCAACGAGCGCAACCCUUGUCAUUAGUUGCCAGCAGGUUAAGCUGGGCACUCUAGUGAAACUGCCGGGGAUAACUCGGAGGAAGGUGGGGAUGACGUCAAAUCAUCAUGCCCCUUAUGUUCUGGGCUACACACGUGCUACAAUGGCCGGUACAGAGAGACGCAAUCUCGUGAGGGGGAGCAAAACUCUAAAACCGGUCCCAGUUCGGAUUGUAGGCUGAAACUCGCCUACAUGAAGUUGGAGUUGCUAGUAAUCGCGAAUCAGAAUGUCGCGGUGAAUGCGUUCCC